rnacentral:rRNA from 1 species
GUGGCUGCCGUCUACACCCAAGUCUUUUGUGUACUCAUUGUUUCCUCGGCGGCGUAAGUCGCCGAAUGGACAAACCAAAACCUUUUUGUAAUUGCAAUCAGCGUCAUAAAAUAUAAUAAUAUUUACAACUUUCAACAACGGAUCUCUUGGUUCUGGCAUCGAUGAAGAACGCAGCGAAAUGCGAUAAGUAGUGUGAAUUGCAGAAUUCAGUGAAUCAUCGAAUCUUUGAACGCACAUUGCGCCCCUUGGUAUUCCAUGGGGCAUGCCUGUUCGAGCGUCAUUUGUACCCUCAAGCUUUGCUUGGUGUUGGGCGUCUUGUCGGACUAUCCGACUCGCCUUAAAUACAUUGGCAGCCGGCACUUUGGCCUAGGAGCGCAGCACAUUUUGCGAUCGUAAGCCGUUGUGACAGCAUCCAU